rnacentral:rRNA from 1 species
UAUGCCCUGGGCUACACACGUGGUACAAUGGGAAGUACAACGAGUUGCGAAGUCGGGAGGUUAAGCUAAUCUCUUAAAGCUUCUCUCAGUUUGGAUUGCAGGCUGCAACUUGCCUGCAUGAAGCCGGAAUCGCUAGUAAUCGCGGAUCAGCACGCCGCGGUGAAUACGUUCCCGGGCCUUGUACACACCGCCCGUCACACCACGAGAGUUUGUAACACCCGAAGUCGGUGAGGUAACCUUUUCCGGUGGAGCCAGCCGCCUAAGGUGGAAAAAGAAGAUUAGGGUGAAG